AUGGAUAGCUUAUUUGUUUUAUUGUAUAUACUUUGUAGUUUCAAUGAUGAGACAUAUAUGUCAACUAUGGGUGUUGGCUCCAACAACUGUCAUUGGUCUCAAACCAAUGAUGUGCAUUUAGAUGAUCAUGAGUUUGAGGUGGACGAGGAUGGUGAGGGUAUCGUCGAUGCACCGAAAGGAAGAGCGGGCAACUACACCAUGGAUGAAGACAUCUUGCUAUGCAAUACAUGGUUGCAAGUGUCUAGGGAUGCCACCGUUGGAGGGGAUCAAAGUAGAGAUAUUGGAUCCGGAUGA
rnacentral:rRNA from 1 species